AAGUAAUGGCCAAAGAAAAAAGAAUAGGGACGGGGGAGAGUAAAGGUACAUGAAUGCUAGGGGAUUGAUUAGUUUGGAGAGAGAGAUGUCCACGUUGAAUUGCAGAUUUCUCCUUGUUGAAGAGAGAUGAGGACUUGAAGACAAGAAGACCUCAAGUCAAUCCUGCUGACCACAAUCACAAAAGAACAUUGGCCAUGUGUAGGACAGGUAAUGGAAUUUUGAGACAUUCUGAUAAUGGUGAUAACUAGGGAAUGAAGUGGUUGAAUUGGUGUAUUCACAAAAAAGUAAGAUGCCAAUGGGUUUACAAAUUACAGGGCAAAAACAUGUUGUGUUUUCCUUUACAGUUCUAGGUUCCACCUGUUUUUGGGAGAUACAUGAAUAGCGCUGCUUGACAGUAUGUAGAAUUCAGAUAUAUUCAAUAACAAGUUUGACUAGUACUUAACUACUAUCUAGUCCGUUUAGUUACUCUUAAAGGACAACUGAUCAAACUGUUUUUAACAUAAUGACCCUUUCAUCAUGUUUUGAAAAAACAAAAAUAUAUAUAAUUUAAUUUUAUUUAUUUUUUGUUAUGACGUAUAUGUUAAAAAAAAAAAGAGAGAGAGAAAUCCAUCCCCACCUUUAGUAUGUGAAGUAUCCUUCGGCCAUAUACAUGCAACUUUGGACAGACAGUCUCUAUGGUCUUCCUUGCCUCAUUCCCUGCACAGAAACAGGGAAGACCAUAGAGACUAACUGUAUGUUUUCAUACACUGUUUGACUCAAGGUGCAUGUAUAUGGCUGAAGGAUCAUGUCAUUUGCUAAAGGCAGGGAUGAGUUAUUCUCCUUGUUUUUUCCUCAGAUACUUCAUUUAAAAGACUUUUUAAAACAUGACGAAACGAUUAUCAAAAAAUCAUACCAUUAAAAUAAUUUUUGGGGUGAUAGCUGUUCUUUAUUGUUUUUCCUGACAGUAAAUGGAACUCUGAACUCUCUGAGAAAACAUGGCCGAGCUAGUUUUUUUUUAGAUACAUCCUGUUGUUGCCAAGACAAUUUUUUUUUUUUUAAAUGUAGAAUGAUGUUUUCUCAGAGCUCUGGGUAAUUUGUACAAUUGACAAAUCUUUAUCAAUCACUAAUAAAAAUAGACAAUGGUUUUAUUUAAAUGAUGACUAGGUUAAGGAAAAUGGAAAACAGUAGAUUAAAAUGAAACUCUCACUUCCCGGGACUUUUUAAAUUGUGUUUACUUAUCCCCUACAUUUAACAAAUAUGUAUUUGUGAGGUGUGAAAAAUUAAAUAAAAUGAAGAUAUCCACACCUCUUUGUCAUUCAUCUGGAUUCCUCCAUUUUACCUCCCUGUCAAUCUGUGUCAGAGGACAGAAGACAGGCUGAAAGAACAUGGUGGCGUCAGCAAGGCACAGGUUUAAGUAAACGAAGCUCACCUUCUCGUGCCCUCCCAGCAGCGUUGUAACCGACGAGGGUGUUUGUGAAUUUAGCAAAUUGUCCCCACAUGGUGACAGUGCCAUUUUAAGACCAAGAGAGCUGCACUGAAGAUAAAUGUAUUUAUUUUUAUUUAUUUUUUAAUAGAAUUACAAUAUAAAUGGACAUAACUCUAUACAUUUUGUUACUUGUUGCUAAAAAAAAAAAAAUUGAGCUAACAGUUCCGAACAUUCCUCACUGGAUAGUGAUGGUGAACCUUUAGAAGUAAAACUGUGUAAGUAAUCUCAGGUUAGUUGGAUAGAAUGGCAAACUGCAUCUUGCAUUGUAACUUUCACUGACUGUUUUAUAUUUUAUUGAUACAUCGUUCAAACUAGCAAACGUUAUUUCUGGUAACCAAGCGCCCCCUACUGUAACCAAGCUGUAUUGACAUGCAAACAGCAAAGGAACACUAUAGCGUUAGCACUAUAAACCUGUAUUUCUAACACUAUCGUGUCCCUCUACAGGGACAUUGCAUCCAGACCACUUCAAUUAGCUGACGUGGUCUGAGUGUCUAUGGUGCCCUUCUAAUAUUUGAAAAAUCCAGCCUCCUUUUGCAAGAAACCUACUACUAUAAAUACUAGCUUUAAUCUUUAAUAUAACUUUUUUUCUGAGGAAUUUUACACCUACCACUUGCAGUAAUAUUCGCUAAAGUGUGAAUUGCUGGUAAUGCAAAGUGAAAUUAAUGUGAAUUAAAAAUUUGAGGUCAAUCGUCGAGCUGGAAACUUAGUUGUCUUUGUAAAUGCUCCCCUUAAUUUUUCUAUGUAAUAUUUUAAUGUUUAUCUGGGAUAGGAACGUGCACAUUUGUUCCCCAUCAAUUCCUAUUUUAAUAUCAGCUAUACGUUUGAUGACAACUUAUUAUUGCCCUCCUCACACUGCUAUUGGUGAGAGUGCCAUAAAACUGCACAGUUUAAUGAUUGAUAAAUACCUUCACCAAUGGCAGUUAGCUCUAAUUGUCUCCUAUUGCAACCGUAUGGUUUGAGUCAGAAUGCAGUCACCGUCUGUCCUCUCUCUCAGGGUACUAGGUAGGAAUUCCGCUAGUUAUGAACUAUUACAUAUUGCUAAAUAAAAGUUCACUACUAGCAGAACUCGGCCGAGUACUGCACUAGCAGCUAGAGGACAGAGCCGGAGAAGGAUGACCUGUUUUGCCAAAAGUCAUCUUACCCUCUCUCGUAGCAUUGAGCAGUUGACCUGGGUACCACAACCUUGUGUUUUUCAUUUAAGGUUCUGGUAGGACUGGUGCCUGUUCUGUGCCUCGUAGGGUGCUCUGUAGGUUUGCUCCAACAAAGCCAGUGGUAGGCAGCCUUCCACACUCCAGAUGUUGUGGACUAUAUCUCCCCUGAUGCUUUGCCAGCGUCAUGGCUGUCAGAGCAUUAUGGGAGAUGAAGUCCAGAACAGUCCAAAACUGUAUACUUUUCCAAAAAUGCUGAAGGAUACAGCUUGCUGUAAUGUAACUUACACAGUUAGCACAGACAUUUCUUAACAAUUGGCUCAGAUUUAGUUCUAUAGUUUAUUUACAGUCAGGAUUAUUCUCUAACGCAGGGGUCCUCAAACUCCGGCCCUCCAGAUGUUGCUGAACUACAAGUUCCAUGAUUCUCUGGCUAUCUGUGUAAUUCAAAGAAGCAUGGGAGUUGUAGUUCAGCAACAUCUGGAGGGCUACAGUUUGAGGACCCCUGCUCUGACGUGUGAACUGUCGUUUUGGAAAAUUUUGCGCCAAAUUGAAUACAAACGUGAUUUUUUUUUCAAACUGACAAUCAUUACCUGAAAUUUGAAAUUCACUAUAAAGUCACUUUAAAUUUCUGACAUUUCACAUGUUUGUGAAUAACCCUUAUUGUUUAAUGGGGAGAAAUAGCAACCUUAAUUUAAUUAAAGGCAACUUACAUCUAUCACCUGAACUGACCACCGAUUGCUACCAUUUUCAAAAUAUCAAGUUCCCAUGAUUCGUUGCACACAUGCGUGCAAAAUGCCUUAACUUGAAGUCAUGAGUUUUAUUUAAAAUCCAUUAAAUUAUGUUUCACGGAAAACUUCAUAGUGAACCCACCAUAAAAUUUAAUUUAGAAAACAUAAAUAGAUACAGUAUAAUAUCUCUUCUGGUGUAAAAAUAAUUAGUGAUUUUUUUGUGGUGUAUAAAAAUGUCUUAAAGUUGUAGGUUUUGGUUAACGUAAAAGGGUGCGAAAUGCGUAUACUGCUGUUAUCUCUAAUUUUGCAAGGCCGUAAGUUACUGAAUGAAUUUUAAUACCCAUAUGUGGGAGAAUAGAGAAGAUUAACAUUUCUAUUUUGAAACCCAGUUGCUGUCAUCCGUCUGUUUUGUGCAUUCGUUUGUGUGGUUGGACCACCACAUCCCAUACAAGAUUGGGGUCACUGCAGAAAACCAGGUAUGAGCUGCCUGUGGAUUUAAGUCCUGUGUGCAUUUAUUACUCCAACAUUUGUGGAUAAUUUAUUUUAUUUGGAGACAGUUAGCCCCUUAAGGACAUAGCUUCAGAAGUAAAAGGCCAGUAUGACAAUUUUUCCAUCUUGUGUCCUUAAGGGGUUAAAAGUUUACAUUGAAGCUGUAAUCUCUCGUUUGAACAGAUAUCAUUAUAAAGCUUGGGAUUUUUUUGUCGACUAUUGCUUUCUUAUUUUUUUAUAAUUUACUUGUUGAUUGUAUUAUUCACUGUUGAUAUUUUGUGAUUUGUUCAUUAAAGCUAACUUUCUUGAUAGACCUUCUGGAUGCACAGACAGUUCAUCACCACUAGGAGGUGGUAAGGAGAAAAAAUGCUGCGAACACAACCAUAUCGUUAAUGAAGAUGUUCUGGUACUGAAGGUACUUGGGACUACGACUACCACAAUUCUUAGCCAGCUACCACAUAGAAAC
rnacentral:lncRNA from 1 species